rnacentral:rRNA from 1 species
UACGUAGGGGGCAAGCGUUGUCCGGAAUCAUUGGGCGUAAAGAGCGUGUAGGCGGCCAGGUAGGUCUGCUGUGAAAACUCGAGGCUUAACCUCGAGCUGUCGGCGGAAACCAUCUGGCUAGAGUCCGGAAGAGGAGAAUGGAAUUCCCGGUGUAGCGGUGAAAUGCGCAGAUAUCGGGAGGAACACCCGUAGCGAAGGCGGCACUCUGGGCCGGUACUGACGCUGAGGAGCGAAAGCCAGGGGAGCAAACGGG